rnacentral:rRNA from 1 species
ACUCCUACGGGAGGCAGCAGUGAGGAAUAUUGCACAAUGGGCGAAAGCCUGAUGCAGCCAUGCCGCGUGAAUGAAGAAGGUUUUCGGACUGUAAAGUUCUUUCAGUGGUGAGAAUAGUGAUGUUAACCACAGAAGAAGUCCCGGCUAACUCCGUGCCAGCAGCCGCGGUAAUACGGAGGGGGCGAACGUUAUUCGGAUUUACUGGGCGUAAAGCGAUCGUAGGCGGAAUGUUAAGUUAGAUGUGAAAGCCCUGGGCUCAACCCGGGAACUGCAUUUAAAACUGGCAAUCUAGAGUGUUGGAGAGGGGGUAGGAAUUUCAGGUGUAGCGGUGAAAUGCGUAGAGAUCUGAAGGAAUACCGGUGGCGAAGGCGGCCCCCUGGACAGAUACUGACACUCAGAUGCGAAAGCGUGGGGAG